rnacentral:rRNA from 1 species
AUGAACGCUAGCGAUAGGCUUAACCCAUGCAAGUCGAGGGGCAGCACAAGGUAGCUUGCUAUCUGGGUGGCGACCGGCGCACGGGUGCGUAACGCGUAUGCAACUUGCCCUAUACAGGAGGAUAACCCGUCGAAAGACGGACUAAUACUGCGUAUGCUCACAACUUGGCAUCAAGUGGUGAGGAAAGAAAUUCGGUAUAGGAUAGGCAUGCGUCCCAUUAGCUUGUUGGUGAGGUAACGGCUCACCAAGGCAACGAUGGGUAGGGGAACUGAGAGGUUUAUCCCCCACACUGGUACUGAGACACGGACCAGACUCCUACGGGAGGCAGCAGUGAGGAAUAUUAGUCAAUGGGCGCGAGCCUGAACCAGCCAAGUCGCGUGAAGGAUGACUGUCUUAUGGAUUGUAAACUUCUUUUAUACGGGAAUAACAAGAGUCACGUGUGACUCCCUGCAUGUACCGUAUGAAUAAGCAUCGGCUAACUCCGUG